UAACGCUGAGGUGUGAUGACGAGGCACUACGGUGCUGAAGUAACAAAUGCCCUGCUUCCAGGAAAAGCCUCUAAGCAUCAGGUAACAUCAAAUCGUACCCCAAACCGACACAGGUGGUCAGGUAGAGAAUACCAAGGCGCUUGAGAGAACUCGGGUGAAGGAACUAGGCAAAAUGGUGCCGUAACUUCGGGAGAAGGCACGCUGAUGUGUAGGUGAAGCCCCUGCGGGUGGAGCUGAAAUCAGUCGAAGAUACCAGCUGGCUGCAACUGUUUAUUAAAAACACAGCACUGUGCAAACACGAAAGUGGACGUAUACGGUGUGACGCCUGCCCGGUGCCGGAAGGUUAAUUGAUGGGGUUAGCGGCAACGCGAAGCUCUUGAUCGAAGCCCCGGUAAACGGCGGCCGUAACUAUAACGGUCCUAAGGUAGCGAAAUUCCUUGUCGGGUAAGUUCCGACCUGCACGAAUGGCGUAAUGAUGGCCAGGCUGUCUCCACCCGAGACUCAGUGAAAUUGAACUCGCUGUGAAGAUGCAGUGUACCCGCGGCAAGACGGAAAGACCCCGUGAACCUUUACUAUAGCUUGACACUGAACACUGGUCCUUGAUGUGUAGGAUAGGUGGGAGGCUUUGAAGCGUGGACGCCAGUCUGCGUGGAGCCGCCCUUGAAAUACCACCCUUUAAUGGCUGGUGUUCUAACGUAGACCCGUAAUCCGGGUUGCGGACAGUGUCUGGUGGGUAGUUUGACUGGGGCGGUCUCCUCCCAAAGAGUAACGGAGGAGCACGAAGGUUAGCUAAUCCUGGUCGGACAUCAGGAGGUUAGUGCAAUGGCAUAAGCUAGCUUGACUGCGAGAGUGACGGCUCGAGCAGGUGCGAAAGCAGGUCAUAGUGAUCCGGUGGUUCUGAAUGGAAGGGCCAUCGCUCAACGGAUAAAAGGUACUCCGGGGAUAACAGGCUGAUACCGCCCAAGAGUUCAUAUCGACGGCGGUGUUUGGCACCUCGAUGUCGGCUCAUCACAUCCUGGGGCUGAAGUAGGUCCCAAGGGUAUGGCUGUUCGCCAUUUAAAGUGGUACGCGAGCUGGGUUUAGAACGUCGUGAGACAGUUCGGUCCCUAUCUGCCGUGGGCGCUGGAGAAUUGAGGGGGGCUGCUCCUAGUACGAGAGGACCGGAGUGGACGCAUCACUGGUGUUCGGGUUGUCAUGCCAAUGGCAUUGCCCGGUAGCUAAAUGCGGAAGAGAUAAGUGCUGAAAGCAUCUAAGCACGAAACUUGCCCCGAGAUGAGUUCUCCCUGACCCUUUAAGGGUCCUGAAGGAACGUUGAAGACUACGACGUUGAUAGGUCGGGUGUGUAAGCGCAGCGAUGCGUUGAGCUAACCGAUACUAAUGAACCGUGAGGCUUAACCUUACAACGCCGAAGCUGUU
rnacentral:rRNA from 1 species